rnacentral:rRNA from 1 species
CCUACGGGUGGCAGCAGUGGGGAAUAUUGGACAAUGGGCGCAAGCCUGAUCCAGCAACGCCGCGUGAAGGAAGAAGGCUUUCGGGUUGUAAACUUCUUUUGUCAGGGAAGAGAAGAAGACGGUCUCUGACGAAUACGCCACGGCUAACUACGUGCAAGCAGCCGCGGUUAUGCGUAGGUGGCAAGCGUUGUCCGGAUUUACUGGGUGUAAAGGGCGUGUAGCCGGGUUGACAAGUCAGGUGUGAAAUCCUGCGGCUUAACCGCAGAACUGCCUUUGAAAGCGUGGAUCUGGAGUACAGGAGAGGCAGGCGGAAUUCCUAGUGGAGCGGUGAAAUGCGUAGAUAUCAGGAGGAACACCAGUGGCGAAGGCGGUCUGCUGGACAGCAACUGACGGUGAGGCGCGAAAGCGUGGGGAGCAAACAGGAUUAGAUACCCGUGUAGUC